AAUCAACGCUGGCGGCGUGCCUAACACAUGCAAGUCGAACGAGAGAGUCCGUAGCAAUACGGAUGAGUACAGUGGCGCCCGGGUGAGUAACACGUGGAUAACCUGCCUUUAAGUGGGGAAUAACCCUGGGAAACCGGGGCUAAUACCGCAUAACACCUAGCGGCUGCGGCCGCAGGGUUAAAACCUGGAAACGGGGCUUGAAGAGGGGUCCGCGCCCGAUUAGCUAGUUGGUGAGGUAACGGCUCACCAAGGCUGUGAUCGGUAGCCGGCCUGAGAGGGCGGUCGGCCACACUGGAACUGACAUACGGUCCAGACUCCUACGGGAGGCAGCAGUGGGGAAUUUUGCGCAAUGGGGGAAACCCUGACGCAGCAACGCCGCGUGGAUGAUGAAGCCCCUUGGGGUGUAAAAUCCUUUCGGCAGGGACGAAAUUUUGACGGUACCUGAAGAAGAAGCCCCGGCUAACUCCGUGC
rnacentral:rRNA from 1 species